rnacentral:rRNA from 1 species
GGCUUAGGAUGAACGCUAGCUACAGGCUUAACACAUGCAAGUCAGGGGCAUCAUGAGAUUAGCUUGCUAAUCUUGAUGGCGACCGGCGCACGGGUGAGUAACGCGUAUCCAACCUUCCCUUAGUAGGCAUAGCCCGGCGAAAGUCGGAUUAAUACCCUAUGUUGUCAAUAGAGGACAUCUGAAGCUGACUAAAGAUUAAUCGCUAAGGGAUGGGGGAUGCGUCUGAUUAGCUUGUUGGCGGGGUAACGGCCCACCAAGGCGACGAUCAGUAGGGGUUCUGAGAGGAAGGUCCCCCCACACUGGUACUGAGACACGGACCAGACUCCUACGGGAGGCAGCAGUGAGGAAUAUUGGUCAAUGGGCGUAAGCCUGAACCAGCCAAGUAGCCGUGCAGGAUGACGGCCCUAUGGGUUGUAAACUGCUUUUAUGCGGGGAUAAGGUCACCUACGUGUAGGUGUUUGUAGGUACCGCAUGAAUAAGGACCGGCUAAUUCCGUGCCAGCCGCCGC